UACGUAGGCGGCGAGCGUUGUUCGGAGUUACUGGGCGUAAAGGGUGUGUAGGCGGUUGUUUAAGUUUGGGGUGAAAUCUCCCGGCUCAACUGGGAGGGUGCGCCGAAUACUGAAUGACUAGAGUGCGGGAGAGGAAAGUGGAAUUCCUGGUGUAGCGGUGAAAUGCGUAGAUAUCAGGAGGAACACCGGUGGUGUAGACGGCUUUCUGGACCGUAACUGACGCUGAGACACGAAAGCGUGGGUAGCAAACAGG
rnacentral:rRNA from 1 species